UACGGAGGGUGCGAGCGUUGUCCGGAAUCACUGGGCGUAAAGGGCGCGUAGGCGGCAGGCCAAGCGUGCGGUGAAAGUCCGGGGCUCAACCCCGGAUCUGCCGUGCGGACUGGUUUGCUAGAGCACUGUAGAGGCGAGUGGAAUUCCGGGUGUAGCGGUGGAAUGCGUAGAGAUCCGGAAGAACACCGGUGGCGAAGGCGGCUCGCUGGGCAGUGGCUGACGCUGAGGCGCGAAAGCUAGGGGAGCAAACAGG
rnacentral:rRNA from 1 species